ACAACCUUCAAGAAAAGGGUCAUCCAGCGGUGUAAGGCUCUCCCUUCCUCAAGUGACCUCCAAGAUCGGAUCUAUUGUGCAGAUUCAAAUGAAUGGGAAAUGGAGAAUAACAUUAUUGCCUCUGGAUGGGACAGUGAUCUGUCUUCAAUCAUUCUCCUCCUCCACCUGAUUCCUCCAACUGCCCAGGGGCGGAAAAGGCCAGGCAAGGUGUCUGCAUCCCAAGCUGUCGUGUUAAAGAAAGUGGAACAAGCAUCCAGGAACACAUUGAUGCCCUCAACAGCACCCCUCAACCCUAUCUACUUGCUGUUGGCAGGAAGAGGAGCGCAAUCCAUGAGUUCUUUAUCAUUCUGGACAAGCAGGUCAUACCCUACAACUCAACCACU